rnacentral:rRNA from 1 species
UACAGAGGGGGCAGGCGUUGUUCGGAAUUACUGGGCGUAAAGGGCGCGUAGGCGGCCUGCUAAGUCGGACGUGAAAUCCCCCGGCUCAACCGGGGAACUGCGUCCGAUACUGGUGGGCUCGAAUCCGGGAGAGGGAUGUGGAAUUCCAGGUGUAGCGGUGAAAUGCGUAGAUAUCAGGAAGAACACCCGUGGCGAAGGCGGGUCUCUGGGCAGUAACUGACGCUGAGGAGCGAAAGCGUGGGGAGCGAACAGG